CCUCUCCUUCCGCAGUCCAAUAAAAAGAGGCGUUCUUAUAGAAAACCCUAAUUCAUGUAAAACCCCUAUUUAAAGGCAGCAGCAACCUCAACGCUCUUACUCGCCGUCGCCCCUACUCGUGUAAGAUCGAUUAGAAUUUGCUGCGUCUGUUUACCCACUUCUCGGGCAGCAAAAAAUUGAAAGCUCGAGAAGUUAAAACGGAUGCAAAGAUCCAAUAAGGUUGGCUUACCAGCCCAUUGCAUAUUAUUAUCUUGCCUUGGUGUCAAAUGGACCUACCUAUAUUUCUAUCAAUUUGUUUGAUUUUCUUUGCAUUUUUUUUUAAAAAAAUUUGGCAAUUGAUGAGCAAUAUGUUUAUCCUACACUCUGAAUGAAUUGUUGUGUUGAGCAUAAACUCCGCUUAUUAUCUGAUGCCAAUACUUUCUUCUAUUGCUUCUCUUUUUUAUGAUUAUUUCUUGGUUUAGAAAUAGUGAUGAAGGCAAAUGAUGGAAAAAAAUUCUUAUCCUACACACUGAAUUAAAUGUGGACCAAAAACUCCGCUUAUUAUCUGAUGCCUUUGUCAAUCUUUAUUAGAACUCUGUAUUUUUUUUUAAUUAUGUAUAAGUAGUGUGAUUAAAUGUUCAUCGAUGAUGAGAAAAAGCAGACGGGCGGUCUGAAUCUGAUGCUGUGUUGAUUGUCUGCAGAAUUUCCUCUGAGAUUAUUUGCAAUUGUUUCUUGUUUGUUCUACUUUUAUCUUGAUUUGCAAUAUAUCAGAAUUUCCUCUGAUUUAUCUCCUCACGUUGUGUUGGUAGAGAGAUUUUAAAUGUUUGAUGCUACUUUUUAUUCUCCUGCAGUGAUGAAGUUGCUUCAAUUAUGUCUGGACUUAUGAAAAUUGUCUAUGAUUUUACAUGCAA